rnacentral:rRNA from 1 species
GAUGAACGCUGGCGACGUGCCUAAUACAUGCAAGUCGAGCGAACAGACGAGGAGCUUGCUCCUCUGACGUUAGCGGCGGACGGGUGAGUAACACGUGGAUAACCUACCUAUAAGACUGGGAUAACUUCGGGAAACCGGAGCUAAUACCGGAUAAUAUAUUGAACCGCAUGGUUCAAUAGUGAAAGACGGUUUUGCUGUCACUUAUAGAUGGAUCCGCGCCGCAUUAGCUAGUUGGUAAGGUAACGGCUUACCAAGGCGACGAUGCGUAGCCGACCUGGGAGGGUGAUCGGCCACACUGGAACUGAGACACGGUCCAGACUCCUACGGGAGGCAGCAGUAGGGAAUCUUCCGCAAUGGGCGAAAGCCUGACGGAGCAACGCCGCGUGAGUGAUGAAGGUCUUCGGAUCGUAAAACUCUGUUAUUAGGGAAGAACAAAUGUGUAAGUAACUAUGCACGUCUUGACGGUACCUAAUCAGAAAGCCACGGCUAACUACGUG